CCAGAUAGCAUGCGUAGUCGGGCCGAUUCUGGCUGAGUGUCGGCACUGUCGGCUUACUGUCGAUGCGGUAGAAAAUGACGGUAGAGACACAGUGCCGAGCCCGGCAGCCGAUUCGGGCUAACACACGGCUUUGUUCAUGUGGUCCAGCGGUGGCUGAGCACAGUUCCGCCGAUACUUUUUUAUUUCAUGGCAGUAUGAUAUGAUGCCGGAACAGUGCCGAGCCCGGCAGCCGAUUCGGGCUAACACACGGCUUUGUUCAUGUGGUCCAGCGGUGGUUGAGCAGAGUUCCGCCGAUACUUUUUUUAUUUCAUGGCAGUAUGAUAUGAUGCCGGAACAGUGCCGAGCCCGGCAGCCGAUUCGGGCUAACACACGGCUUUGUUCAUGUGGUCCAGCGGUGGUUGAGCAGAGUUCCGCCGAUACUUUUUUAUCUCAUGGCAGUAUGAUAUGAUGCCGGGACAGUACCGAGCCCGGCAGCCGAUUAGGGCUAACACACGGCUUUGUUCAUGUGGUCCAGCGGUAGCUGAGCACAGUUCCGCCGAUAGUUUUUUUUUUAUUUCAUGGCAGUAUGAUAUGACGCCGGGACAGUGCCGAGCCCGACUUCAUGUGGGCCGGCGUCGGUUUGAGGCGCUCAACGAAUCUAAUUUUCCUACAUUUACUCUUUUCUCAGCGGUUGGCAAUCAGUUUUAUACAUGCCCCGGCAUCUGCCUAGGUGAAAUAUGUAUCAGACUUCCCAUUCUUUAUAGGUUCCUUUAAAUCCAGCCUAUUUGUGUUUCCUGUUAAUACCAUUGCUAUUUUUUUCUUGACCUAACUCCCCUGAAUAUUUUUUACAAGGGGGGAAAACAAUGCCAGUUCUUGACUCACAGGUGGACGGUUUUCUAUAAUUUAAUUGUACUGUUUAGCGCUGUAAAAAUAUUGCAAUAACUAUUUUCUCUGCAUGAUUUUUUUUACACAUUGUUAAUUUGUCUUCAUAUAUGCUUAAUUUUCCAUUCUUUCAGGAACAUAUAAACGAAAUAUUCAUAUAUUUAAAUAUAUAUUCAAACUGCAAUGUAAAAAAACUGGGGCAAGUUAAACGAUAGGUAAACGAUAAAUGGGCAGAAACACAUUUGAAAAUUAUGAAAUAUCUCUGUUGCCGGUUUGCUGUUUUAGCGCCGUUUUCCCGGUGCGCUUAAGUACCCUUGAAUGAAACGGAGCUCAGACCAUUGGUCAUAAGCUUAAUUUUCCAGUAUCCUGAUUGGCUGUAAAGUCCGCCAAGACGUCCUGAAACUACAGUUUGCGCUCAUUCUAUCUUAGUCGCAUGACUGGACCGAGUGCACAGAAGUAACCCACACACCAUAUAAGGUACUUUAAAUAUGGAUAGACGUAAGGUUAGGAAAAAAGCUGUGAAAAAAGUGAACAUGUUUCUGGCAUCGCUUAUGAGUGAGGAUACAGAGGGCACUGAGACUGUGAUGGAAGGUUAUCAUACAAUCGGUGAUACCAGUGUAGAUCAAACCUAUCCUUUCUAUCCCAGUCAAUCAGAGAGUGAGGGGGAAACCUCAGGGGAAUUUGAGAGUGAUUAUGCAGGGGGUGAUAUGAGCAGUUUGUCAUUGGUGGGUGCACUGAGUGACUGGGCUGUCCAGUUUGGUGUAUCUUUAGUUGCUUUGUCUGCCCUUCUGGGAAUUCUCAGAAUACACCACCCAUAUCUACCCAAGGAUGCCAGGACCCUACUCAAAACAAAAACCCUGUAUUGUGUGCAGAAUGUGGCUGGUGGUCAUUACUAUUAUUUUGGCAUUUUAAAAACCUUUGGCAAAACAAUGGAGAGGAUGUGGUCUGAAGUUACUGAGAGACAUGUUUUUUUAUUACAGCUCAACGUUGAUGGUCUGCCACUCUUUAAAAGUUCUUGUGUUCAGUUCUGGCCAAUCCUAGGGAUGCUUCGGGGUUGCAUGAAGAAACCAGUUAUUAUUGCACUUUUCUGUGGAACUUCAAAACCGAAUUCCCUAUGUGACUAUUUGAGUGACCUUGUUCAUGAACUUCAGGAGCUAAGCAAGGGGUUCCUGAUCAGUGGAAAACAUUUAUUUCUAACUGUCUCAUCUGUUGUUUGUGAUGCUCCAGCUAGGGCAUAUAUCAAAGGAAUUAAGUCUCAUACUGGUUACUCUGGUUGUGACAAAUGCAUCCAAGAAGGUGUUUAUGUAAACCACAGGAUGACAUUUCCUGAGGUAAAUAGUCCACGUAGAACUGAUUCCUCAUUUAUCAGCUUAUCUGAUGAGGGUCACCAUGUCCAAAGCUCGCCUUUAAAGGAGGCAUCUAUUGGAAUGGUGUCAUGUUUUCCACACGAUUAUAUGCACCUGGUCUGCCUUGGGGUAAUGCGAAAAUUGUUAGAAUUGUGGCUGACUGUAGGACCUCUCUGUUGUCGAGUUACUUCUCAUCAGAGCGAACUAAUCUCAAGUUCACUCAUUAGUAUGAAAGAUUACAUUCCUGUAGACUUUGCUCGGAAACCUAGGAGAUUGUCAGAGAGGCUAAGAUGGAAGGCAACAGAAUUAAGACAAUUCUUGUUGUAUACUGGUCCUGUGGUACUUUCUGGUGUGCUCUCCUUGCCAGUGUACAAAAACUUUAUGUUGUUAUCAGUUGCCAUUUUUAUACUUUCAAGUCCUGUGUUAUGUCAGACUCUGAAUGAUUUUGCCCACCAUCUUCUGGUGUCGUUUGUGGAGCACUUCAGUCAGUUGUAUACUGAACAUGUAGUUUAUAAUGUACAUGGCCUCACUCAUCUAAGUGAAGAUGUGAAAUUGCAUGGAAAUCUGGAUUUAAUAUCUGGAUUUCCUUACGAGAACUACUUAGGGCAGAUUAAGAAAAUGAUUAGAACCCCACAUCAUCCAUUGUCACAGGUCAUACGCAGAAUUUCAGAAAUAAACAGUUGCCCAACAGAUGAUGAAUUAGCACAUGGAAAACAGAUGUUGAGAAAAGAACACAAAGACGGUCCCAUUCCGUCUUCUUUUCAGUUUCACCAAGUUCGUCAGUUUAAAGAAGUAGUCCUAGAUAGUACAACAUUAAAUGUGUUUAAACAUGGAGAUAACUGUGUUAAAAUUGAUGAUUGCAUUGCGUUGGUUGUGAACAUUCUGCAGUCACAAGGCAAAGUUUAUGUUGUCUUUAAGGAAUAUCAGGAGAAGAAAUCAUUUUAUGAGUAUCCUAUAAAUUCGUCUGUACUUGGGAUCUAUGUGGUAGACAAUUUAUCUUUGACUCUCAAAACAGCUGAACUUAAUGUAGAUAAAUAUGUCAGAUUGCCAUACAAAGGCAAAUUUGUUGCAGUGCCCCUCCUGCAUUUGAACAGGUGGAAUUCUGGCAACAACUAAAGUUCCAUCUACAGGAAUUCUGUAUGAAUGUGUGUAGUUAAUGAUAAACUAAAAUUUGGGGUUUGUAGUUUGAAGACACUCCAAAUUAUGUAGUGUUGAUGCUGGUUUGUUAAGAUUUGUAGUUCAUUGAGAUUUGCUGUUAGGCUACGAGGGAAGCUUUUGUGUUUUAUUUAUUGUGCACUCACUGAAGAAAAAGUUAAGUACAUAUAAGUAAUUGUCAGAUUUGGAUGUGAUUUGGUACAUGUGCAGACCAGCCAUGGGACCAGCAGUGUGCCUAUUCUGCCAACUCUGUUGUCUGUGUGAUCUGAUAUUAUAAUCAUUGCAAUACAGUCACAUGACCUUUCACCAUGUCCAGAUUCAUUUCCACCACUCCAUCCAGGUAAUUAACUUUUUUUGUCACUGAGUAUAUUUUGUUUAUUAUCAUCAACAGCUAUGUUCAAAAUUGUGGAGUUUAAGGAGACAAAUGAGGUAGAAUUGGUCCCUGGUGUGUGGGUGAAAGAUGGUGUCUGCCACUGGCCCCCCUAUAAAGGAAAGCAGCUGGAUUCAGCAAUUAAGCAUCAGGUCACUCCAGACCACAGCUGGAUACAGUGGGAAGUCAGAGUGAUGUUUAUAACAGAGAGUUAUGAGGAAGGGAGACGGAAAUUACGGGAAGCUGAACAGCGUUCUGACCUCCAGUCAGAAGCUGAAGAGUCUGGGAAAAAGAAAAGGAGAAAAAUGCCAAGUAGCAGACUUCUAGAUGCCACUAAUGGUGCUUCAAGUGAGAGUGAAGAAGAAGCAGGACUGCAGCAGAGUGACAGACGUCUACCUGAGGCCCCACCAAUCAGCCAAGUUAAAAUUUUAACACCAUUGCAGACUGCUAAUACUGGAAGUCGCAGUACUAUUCCCUGGCUGAAGAAUCCACCCCUCCCUCUGGAAAUGAUGUGGCAACCUACUGAUGCCCUACGUGGAGAGCAUGACCUAAACAAAAACCGUGCAGACUUGUUUUCCUCACCACCACCUCAUCCAGAGCCUUCAAAAGUUCAGAAGUCCUGGAUACCAUCUGAAGUUAAUCAGUUUCACCAAGACCAUGCAAAGACUUGGACACCCCCAUCACAGCUACAAAGGACUCCUGCUGAAG